ACACCCAGUCAUCUCCACACCCUGACAACAUUCACACCUGCUCAGACACCGCCGGCCUUAGACAGGCUACCACUUUCAGCUCUCUCGGCUGUCCUGUGUCACAGACAGAAACAGAGCCUUCCAAAGGAUGACAAUCUGGGCCUGAAACUUCUUCCUGGAGGUCCACAUUCCUGCAGGUUCUUGGGCCCUGCUGACUGAAGUUCCUCCAAACUACUGUAAGAAAACAAGCUUUAUCCAGGAGCAGGAAAACUGAACAAAGGAGGUUUCAGCCUUUCUUUCUGAACCCUGACUAAAUAGGAUGAAGUUCCCAUUUCCACUGUUUCAGUCUCUUCUGCAAACCGAGGUGCCUGCCUUUGGUCCCACACCACCCCUCCUACUGCAAUGUAAACGGAAAUGCUGAUUUGAUGAGCUUUGUCUACACCCUGGUAAUCAAAGCAUGCUACAAAGAUUAACUUAUGUGAUCCACACAAGUAGGGCAGGCCAGGUAGAACUGCCACACUCCUUUUGCAGAGGGCUUAAACCAUAGAGUGGUUUGCAAAGCCCCACAUCCUAGCCAACAGAGGAAGAGGCAAGACCCCAGCUCUGGCAGGGUCUGGCCCCUGACCUCAUCACUUUCCAGCACCUUUGCACAUGCUUCCUUCCUUCUGGAAUGCCUAUCCCUUCUUUCCUCCUGGAAACCCUGAGUGGUCACCAGCCCACAGAGUGGACACUGGCCCACAGGCAUACCUUUUGCAAGGCCUCAGCUGACUUUCCAGGAAGAAGAGUCCUCUCCUUUGACUCCCAGAGCACUUUUCAGACUCUUCGGAUCACAAUUGGAGUUUCUCAUCAUUACUUCUUUAUGUUCUCCACAUGCAACUUGCUCAAAGACGGAAAAGGUUGCUCCUCUUGAUAUAUGAAGGAUAUGCCUAGUAAUUCCGGUCCUACAACAUUUGGAAAUGUAUACUUCUGGGGGAUAGUUAACAAUAUCAAAAGACUUUUUCUGUCAUUGUUUCUGGAAAGAGGGACUACUAUUGGUUUCUAUAAUAGAAAUUUUGAGUAGUAUUCAAAGUGUUAAAUACUCAACAAUACAAUACAUGGAGGGUGAGGAGCUUACAACAAAAUAUUGUCCAGUGGUGGCUCUCAAGGAAGCUGAUAAGGCAGGAGAAUCUCUAAAAGUUUAAGACCUGCCUAGGUUACAUAGAGGAGCUCCUGUCUCAAACAACAAAACAGGUCAGACUUCAUGUUCAAGUCUAUAGCUCCAUUUAUCUAAGAGGUUGAGGCAGGAGAAUCACUAUAAGUUCAAGCCUGUGUGAACAACCUAUAAAGACAUUUUGUGUAAAACAACAAAAAAGCAGAAAAAAAAA
rnacentral:lncRNA from 1 species